rnacentral:rRNA from 1 species
AGCGAACGCUGGCGGCAGGCUUAACACAUGCAAGUCGAGCGGGCGUAGCAAUACGUCAGCGGCAGACGGGUGAGUCACACGUGGGAACGUACCUUUUGGUUCGGAACAACUGAGGGAAACUUCAGCUAAUAACGGAUAAGCCCUAACGGGGAAAGAUUUAUCGCCGAAAGAUCGGCCCGAGUAUGUUUAGCUAGUUGGUGAGAUAAUGGCUCACCAAGGCGACGAUCAGUAGCUGGUCUGAGAGGAUGAUCAGCCACACUGGGACUGAGACACGGCCCAGACUCCUACGGGAGGCAGGAGUGGGGAAUAUUGGACAAUGGGGGCAACCCUGAUCCAGCCAUGCCGCGUGAGUGAUGAGGGACCUAGAGUUGUAAAGCUCUUUUGUGCGGGAAGAUAAUGACGGUACCGCAAGAAUAAGCCCCGGCUAACUUCGUGCCAGCCGCCGCAGUAA